UGUGUGUGUGUGUGUGUGUAUGUGUAUAUAUAUAUAUGUGUAUAUAUAUAUAUAUAUAUACACACACACAUAUACAUA